UACGUAGGGGGCAAGCGUUAUCCGGAUUUACUGGGCAUAAAGGGCGCGUAGGUGGUGUUUUAAGUCAGAUGUUAAAUCUCCCAGCUUAACUGGGACCCGCAUUUGAAACUGGAACACUCGAGUACAGGAGAGGAAAGCGGAACUCACGGUGUAGCGGUGAAAUGCGUAGAUAUCGUGGGGAACACCAGUUGCGAAGGCGGCUUUCUGGACUGUUACUGACACUGAGGCGCGAAAGCGUGGGGAGCAAACAGG
rnacentral:rRNA from 1 species